rnacentral:lncRNA from 1 species
AUGGGCUUGCUUGUUGUGCUGUAUCUUUCACCAGAGUUUGGAUUUGAGGAAGACUCACAUCAGCCUUGUUUGCCAGUAGAGAAAAUGGAGGCAAAGAAAACAUGGUCUAACUUAAAAGGAUCAGAGGGACAGAAACAAGAAGGCUUUCAGGAAAGGGGUUUCUUUCCGAACUGGCAUUUCCAUUGGUUGGCAGGAGGCUCUUCCACUAAAGGCUCCCAUGGUUUUCACUGUAUUAUUUUUCUUGCCAGACUUCAUUCAUUUUCAGCCUGAAGAAUCACCUCUUCUAGUUGGCCACCCUGAAGUUGGUCUUUUAAUUUCUUAACAUCUGGUUCCACUUUAACCAUACUCAGCUUCUUAUUUGUAAUCUGUUCUGUAUACUUUCUGUAUGCUGCGUUUUUAGGAAUUUGCUCAAGAACAUCAAAAAUCUUCGUGUACAAUAUUCUUAGCCUCUCGUGUGGACUCUCACAUACAGCCAAUCCCACAAGGCCGGUGGUCUUCUUCAGCAAACCCACCAUGACAGAGCCCUAGUUCUUUAUAGAUCUUGGAUACUAGCCCUUUAUCUGAUAUGUCAUUUGCAAAUAUCUUCUCCCAUUCUGUAGGUUGUUCUUUAGUUUUGUUGACUGUUUCUUUUGCUGUGCAGAAGCUUUUUAUGUUGAUUAAGUCCCAAUAAUUCAUUUUUGCUUUUGUUUCCCUUGUCUUUAUACAUGUAUCUUGUAAGAAGUUGCCUUGGCCAAGUUCAGAAAGGGUGUUGCCUGUGUUCUCCUCUAGGAUUUUGAUGGAUUCUUGUCUCACAUUUAGAUCCUUCAUCCAUUUUGAAUUUAUCUUUGUGUAUGGUGUAAGACAAUGGUCCAGUUUCAUUCUUCUGCACGUGGCUGUCCAAUUUUCCCAGCACCAUUUAAAAAAAUUUUUUAUUGGAGUUCAAUUUGCCAACAUAUAGCAUAACACUCAAUGCUCAUCCUGCCAAGUGCCCCCCUCAGUGUCCAUCACUCAGUCACCCCAACCCCCCACCCACUUCCCCUUCCACUACCCCUUGUUCAUUUCCCAGAGUUAGGUGUCUCUCAUGUUCCCAGCACCAUUUAUUGAAGAGACUGUCUUUUUUCCAGUGGAUAGUUUUUCCUGCUUUGUCGAAUAGUAGUUGACCAUAGAGUUGAGGGCCCAUUUCUGGAUUCUCUAUUCUGUUCCACUGAUCUAUGUGUCUGUUUUUGUGCCAGUAACACACUGUCUUGAUGAUCACAGCUUUGUAGUACAACUUGAAAUCCAGCAUUGUGAUGCCCCUGGCUCUGGUUUUCUUUUUCAAUAUUCCCUUGGCUAUUUGAGGUCUUUUCUGAUUCCACACAAAUCUUAAGAUAAUUUGUUCUAACUCUCUGAAGAAAGUCCAUGGUAUAUCAAUAGGGAUAGCAUUGAUCAUGUAAAUUGCCCUGGGUAGCACUGACAUUUUCACAAUAUUAAUACUUCCAAUCCACAAGCAUGGAAUAUUUUUCCAUCUCUUUGUGUCUUCCUCAAUAACUUUCAGAAGUUUUCUGUAGUUUUUAGGGUAUAGAUGGUUUGGUUAUACCCCUUUGGUUAGGUUUAUUCCUAGGUAUCUUAUGCUUUUGGGUGCAAUUGUAAAUGGGAUUGACUCCUUAAUUUCUCUUGCUUCAGUCUCAUUGUUAGUGUAUAGAAAUGCCACUGAUUCCUGGGCACUGAUUUUGUAUCCUGCUCUGCCAAAUUGUAUGAGUUCUAGCAAUCUUGGGGUGGAGUCUUUUGGGUUUUCUAUGUACAGUAUCAUGUCAUCUGAAAAGAAGGAGAGUUUGACUUCUUCUUUGCCAAUUUGAAUGUCUUUUAUUUCUUUUUGUUGUCUGAUUGCUGAGGCUAGGACUUCUAGUACUAUGUUGAAUAGCAGUGGCGAGAGUGGACAUCCCUGUCUUGUUCCUGAUCUUAGGGGAAAGGCUCCCAGUGUUCCACCAUUGAGAAUGAUAUUGGCUGUGGGCUUUUCAUAGAUGGCUUUUAAGAUGCUGAGGAAUGUUCCCUCUAUCCCUACACUCUGAAGAGUUUUGAUCAGGAAUGGAUGCUGUAUUUUGUCAAAUGCUUUCUCUGCAACUAUUGAAAGGAUCAUAUAGUUCUUGUUUUUUCUUUUGUUGAUAUGAUCUAUCACGUUGAUUGCUUUACAAGAGUUGAACCAGCCUUGCAUCCCAGGGAUAAAUCCCACUUGAUCAUGGUGAAUAAUCUUCUUAAUGUAUUGUUGGAUCCUAUUGGCUAGUACCUUUUUUUUCCAAAGAUUUUAUUUAUUUAUUCAUGAGACACACAGAGAGAGAGGGAGAGAGAGAGAGAGAGGCAGAGACACAGGCAGAGGGAGAAGCAGACUCAAUGCAGGGAGCCUGAUGUGGAUUUUGAUCCCAGGACUCCAGGAUCACACUCUGGGUGGAAGGCAGGCACUAAACCGCUGAGCCAUCUGGGGAUCCCGGCUAGUAUCUUGCUGAGAAUUUUUGCAUCUGUGUUAAUCAGGGAUAUUGGUCUAUAAUCUCCUUUUUGGUGGUGUCUUUGUCUGGUUUUGGAAUUAAGGUGAUGCUGGCCUCAUAGAACGAGUUCGGAAGUAUUCCAUCCCUUUCUAUUUUUCUGAACAGGGUUAGUAGAAUAGGUAUUGUUUCUUCUUUAAACGUUUGAUAGAAUUCCCCUGGAAAGCCAUCUGGCCCUGGACUUUUGUGUCUUGGGAGGUAUUUGAUGACUGCUUCAAUUUCCUCCCUGGUUAUUGACUUGUUCAGGUUUUCUAUUUCUUCCUGUUCCGGUUUUGGUAGUUUGUGGUUUUCCAGAAAUGUGUCCAUUUCUUCUAGAUUGCCUAAUUUAUUAGUGUAUAGCUGCUCAUAAUGUUUUUAAAAUCGUUUGUAUUUCCUUGGUAUUGGUUAUGAUCUCUCCUUUUUCAUUCGUGAUUUUAUUAAUUUGAGUCUUUUCUCUUUUGUUUUUAAUAAGGCUGGCUAAUGUUUUACUUAUCUUAUUAAUUCUUUCAAAGAACCAACUCCUGGUUGUUGGUUGUUGGUUGGUUGAUCAACUCCUGUUGUUGAUCUCUUCUACAGUUCUUCUGGUCUGAAUUAUCUUUAUUAAAUAAAUAAAUAAAUAAAUAAAACUAGAUAAAACAGAGUUUUAUAUUACCUAAAUAUUCACCAUCUCUAGCAGUCUUCAUUUUUUCUAUGUAGUUCUGAGUUUCCAUGUAGUAUCAUUUUCCCUCAGCCUGUACAAAUUCCUUUGACUGUUCUUGUAGUGCAAGUCAGCUUUU